rnacentral:rRNA from 1 species
GCCUGGGAAACCGGGUCUAAUACUGGAUACGACGUCCUGCCGCAUGGUGGGGCGUGGAAAGGGUUUUACUGGUUUUGGAUGGGCUCACGGCCUAUCAGCUUGUUGGUGGGGUAAUGGCCUACCAAGGCGACGACGGGUAGCCGGCCUGAGAGGGUGACCGGCCACACUGGGACUGAGACACGGCCCAGACUCCUACGGGAGGCAGCAGUGGGGAAUAUUGCACAAUGGGCGGAAGCCUGAUGCAGCGACGCCGCGUGAGGGAUGACGGCCUUCGGGUUGUAAACCUCUUUCAGCAGGGAAGAAGCCACAAGUGACGGUACCUGCAGAAGAAGCGCCGGCUAACUACGUGCCAGCAGCCGCGGUAAUACGUAGGGCGCAAGCGUUGUCCGGAAUUAUUGGGCGUAAAGAGCUCGUAGGCGGUUUGUCGCGUCUGCUGUGAAAGCCCGGGGCUCAACCCCGGGUCUGCAGUGGGUACGGGCAGACUAGAGUGCAGUAGGGGAGACUGGAAUUCCUGGUGUAGCGGUGAAAUGCGCAGAUAUCAGGAGGAACACCGAUGGCGAAGGCAGGUCUCUGGGCUGUUACUGACGCUGAGGAGCGAAAGCAUGGGGAGCGAACAGGAUUAGAUACCCUGGUAGUCCAUGCCGUAAACGUUGGGCACUAGGUGUGGGGGACAUUCCACGUUCUCCGCGCCGUAGCUAACGCAUUAAGUGCCCCGCCUGGGGAGUACGGCCGCAAGGCUAAAACUCAAAGGAAUUGACGGGGGCCCGCACAAGCGGCGGAGCAUGCGGAUUAAUUCGAUGCAACGCGAAGAACCUUACCAAGGCUUGACAUCCACCGGACCGCACUGGAGACAGUGCUUCCCUUCGGGGCUGGUGGACAGGUGGUGCAUGGUUGUCGUCAGCUCGUGUCGUGAGAUGUUGGGUUAAGUCCCGCAACGAGCGCAACCCUCGUUCUAUGUUGCCAGCACGUGAUGGUGGGGACUCAUAGGAGACUGCCGGGGUCAACUCGGAGGAA